GGGCCCCUCGUCUCACUCUGGAUGCAAUGUGCCCCUCGUACGGGCGCUAGUCUCGGUCCUCUCGGGCCUUGACAAAACCUUUGUAAUCCAACAUCAUGCCUAUUGCCAACACAAGAGAUUAUUACAACCAGUAGCGUUGGAUCCCUUGGCACGUCGUUCGAUGAAGACCGUUGCAAAAUGCGAUAAGUGGUGUGAUAUGCAAGUCCAAAACUUAUACGUGAACCAUCGAAUUGUUGAACGCACUGCAUCGAGCCUUACCCAGGAACGAUACGCCCCAUUGAGCGUCAUUAUGUCUUCGCGACAUCUGGUCUUUCUGACUCGAUGUCCGGGUUCGGGAUUCACGGCCGGUCUUUGGUCGCGCUUCCUUAGAUGAAUUGGCUGUGCCGGAGCAAGCGGUGACCUUGUCAUGAAUGUCGAGGUGUGCCGUGUUUUGGUCCGAGCGCAAGAUCCUCCUCUCUGCCGGGUGGGAUCAGAACGCGCGGCCUAGUGUCGUUGCGACUUCUACACAUGACCUCACGGGGGUGGGACGACCCGCUAGACUUAAGCAUAUUAAUCAGCGGAGGAAAAGAAACUAACAAGGAUUCCCCUAGUAACUGCGAGUGAAGAGGGAUUA
rnacentral:rRNA from 1 species